rnacentral:lncRNA from 1 species
GCCGGCGAUGGCCACGCAGACGACACCGGUGCACGUACGUAGACAGCAGCCUGGCAACAGCGCGCGUGCAGCCGGUGCAGGUGUAGCUGAUCUGUUGAAGCUAUUAACUAUUUAGUAGUGUUUUUUUUAUAAUAAAUUAAUAAAUAAUAUUUUUAGACAUAACUUUUCAACAAAUCAACGGCUCCUUCUGUAACCGGAAAGUUAGCCGAGUCGCUCCGUAGACGUUCAAGUCGAACGGCGGGGCAACCCUCGAAACGGAAGCGACACCACUAAAUCAUGAGGGUUCACUAAAUUUCGAUUAGCAUUUCUAUCUCUUAUUGGACAGCCCAUGCAUUCCUUUCUCUUUUCAGACAAUACAGGUAUUUCUUUCUUUUGAGUCACUCACAUUACUUCACUUCUCUUUCUCUUUCGAGACAUUUCAUUCCCUUUUCACUUCUCUUGCUGGAUCACAUGGGCUGUAACAUUUUUUUUCUUUUUUUAAAGAACCAUGUGCACAUAACUUAUAAAACUAAAUUAGAAAGCAUAACUUCCACGAAUAACUUAAUAGUGAUAACUAACUUAGCAGUGCUUUGACAUUCUCUUUUAGAUUUCAUCAGCCUUAACUUAGAUAAUGUAACUUUAAUGAAUAACUUAACAUUGCUAACUUAGUGCUGCUCUCACAUUCUAUUUUAGGGUUCAUGUGUUUUUUUAUUUUAUUUUCAGAAAACUAAUCAUUCGGGACAUGAUAAGAGGGUUAUAAAGGGUAGGGGGCGAAAUAAAGUAACUUUUACAACUUAUACUACACAGUAAAAUCAAUAAUAUGAUGAUGCAACCUUGCAAAAACCAAGAUAAACGCUUUUAUAACUUCUGCAGCGAUAAUCUCAACAUCUCCAUAACUAUGACAUUGAGCAUAUUUGUUUAUUCAACGGCAAGAUAAAUAGAUAAUAAGAGUUGGUUUAAAUAUUUUGUUUAAAAAAAUAGAUACACAGUUUAGAAAUGAUAACAUUUUGAAAUAAAUAUUUUGUUUUUUAAAACCUGACAUAUGUCAGAGCAAGGGAGGGAGUGAGCUCUAUGAUUCGUAUGCACGGUGUGGAAGUGAAAAGCAUGAACAUCAUUUGCUCGAAACGAAUACAAUGAACGACCGUAGAAGUGGAUUCGGGGAACGGAAGUUAGCACAAUAAUCAGAGUUGGUUUAACAUGACCUCUCUGUCAUCUUCAACUCUACAAAUUUCGCCAAAGUUCAGCUGGAAUUAUCUCGCUCCUUCAGAAUUCACAAAGUUUUACAUUAUCUUUUUAAAAAAAUCACAAAGCUCUCUAUAACUUUCCUUGCAGCUUCCUUGAACCAA